AGCUGUGCCAAAAAGUCUCUCAGUCUCAGCAUAUCCAAGACCAAGGCUGGAAGCUAUGAGAAUUAGCUGCAGGUGCUUAGAGUUUAGAAACUGCUGUAGGGACGAAAGACCAAGGUGUUGGCUCCAGCUAACCUUUGAGUGAGAGAAACUUCUGCUGAUGUCAAAUGACCAGGAGGACAUUAACAACUGAUUUUGGUGCCUGUCGGGUGCCGUUGGCCCUACUAAUGACCUAUGCUGAGUUUGACCUGCAGACCCCAGAAACAUCUACCAUGGAUAGUAUUGCUAAAGCACUGGAUGGUCUGCAGCAAUAACAUGGUGGUCCACUAGAGGGCACGGGAGGUCUUAGCUUAACAGAACCUGAAAAUAUAGACACAAGAGAAUUUUGAACCUUUUAUAAGGCUGCUGCUGCUGCAACCUUGAAGGGUUUCCCCUCCACACCCAUGGAAUGCCUGAGCCAGAUAAGGAGGAGAAAGAAGACCGUUCAGGAUGAUACGUUCAGCAAGAUCCUGCAAGCCCAUCCUGCAUCAGACCAUGAGCAGAGAGGGCCUGGAGGGUGAAUAUUACAGUCUGUAUGGAGAAGGAAGGAGCAGACUACAUAGAGGCCCAGGAGUCCCAGCUGGAAAAGGAGAGGGAGAUGCACCAGGACAUAAUGGGCUUCUCUUGCAGCAAACAAAGAUGCUUCAGACUCUUGUGGACCUACAGUUCAACCAUCAUGGGCUUGUCCUUGUAGUCCAUGGAGAACUCUAGAGAACCUCCCUACAACCUCUCCUCUAUAUGCCACUUGGCAUCAGAGGUGACAUCCAAACACCUGCCACUCCACACUGGGGGACAUUAAGGACAACCACAGCUUCACCUACACUGACCUGAGAGAGCCACAGUUACUGAAUGUGUAGCCAAAAUGGACACAAAUGUUCUUUCCCCUUGUUAAUAAA